ensembl:lncRNA
GGAGCUAGAGUCAGAUUUAGGGUUAGGAGCUAGGUUUAGGUUUAGGAUUAGGGUUAGGGUUAGUUUUAGGGUUAGGAGUGAGGGUUAGGAACCAGGGUUAGGGUUAGGUGCUAGGGUUAGGUGCUAGGGUUAGGUUUAGGAUUAGGUGCUAGGGUUAGGUGCUAGGGUUAGGUUUAAGAGCUAGGGUUAGGUUUAGGGUUAGGUGCUAGGGUUAGGUUAAGGGUUAGGGUUAGGGUUAGGAGCUAGGGUUAGGAGUGAGGGUUAGGAGUGAGGGUUAGGAGCGAGGGUUAAGAGCUAGGGUUAGGUUUAGGGUUAGGGUUAAGAGCUAGGGUUAGGGUUAGAGCUAAGAGCUAGGGUUAGGAGCUAGGGUUAGGUUUAGG